UGUUUGAUCCUGGCUCAGAUUGAACGCUGGCGGCACGCUUAACACAUGCAAGUCGGACGGUAACAGGCCUUCGGGUGCUGACGAGUGGCGGACGGGUGAGUAAUGCGUGGGAAUCUGCCCACCAGUGGGGAAUAACGCAGGGAAACUUGCGCUAAUGCCGUAUAAUCUCUUUGGAGGAAAGCGGGGGACCUUAGGGCCUCGCGCUGGUGGAUGAGCCCACGUCGGAUUAGCUAGUUGGUGGGGUAAAGGCCUACCAAGGCGACGAUCCGUAGCCGGCCUGAGAGGGUGGACGGCCACACUGGGACUGAGACACGGCCCAGACUCCUACGGGAGGCAGCAGUGGGGAAUCUUGGACAAUGGGGGCAACCCUGAUCCAGCGAUGCCGCGUGUGUGAAGAAGGCCUGCGGGUUGUAAAGCACUUUUAUUGGGGAAGAAGGGGUUCUGGCUAAUAUCUGGAAUCAUUUGACGUAACCCAAGAAUAAGCACCGUACUCCC
rnacentral:rRNA from 1 species